rnacentral:rRNA from 1 species
GAUGAACGCUGGCGGCGUGCCUAAUACAUGCAAGUCGAGCGAACGGACGAGAAGCUUGCUUCUCUGAUGUUAGCGGCGGACGGGUGAGUAACACGUGGAUAACCUACCUAUAAGACUGGGAUAACUUCGGGAAACCGGAGCUAAUACCGGAUGAUAUUUUGAACCGCAUGGUUCAAAAGUGAAAGACGGUCUUGCUGUCACUUAUAGAUGGAUCCGCGCUGCAUUAGCUAGUUGGUAAGGUAACGGCUUACCAAGGCAACGAUGCAUAGCCGACCUGAGAGGGUGAUCGGCCACACUGGAACUGAGACACGGUCCAGACUCCUACGGGAGGCAGCAGUAGGGAAUCUUCCGCAAUGGGCGAAAGCCUGACGGAGCAACGCCGCGUGAGUGAUGAAGGUCUUCGGAUCGUAAAACUCUGUUAUUAGGGAAGAACAUAUGUGUAAGUAACUGUGCACAUCUUGACGGUACCAAUCAGAAAGCCACGGCUAACUACGUG